GUUCCUCAUCUUUGUUUAUACUUCAACAUAUUUAAGACUCGUCAAUUUCUGGUACACAGCUGCCAUCAGUUCUCAUUAACUCUGACAACAACCUUGGUGUAGCUGUAGAUAUGACCUGCUCAAUUGUUUUACCACAAGAUUUGGAAUGGUCAGGCAGAUAAUGUCUUUUUCGUUGACUUCUCUUUCUGAUUUCUCUAGGUAUUGUUAGUGCAUCUGUACUUUUGCUACAUGACUGGACAAUUUUCUGCUGGUUUGCAACUUUUUCAGCUUGUGUCAAUUUUCUUCUUCUCUUUUGUUGCCACUUUCUCUGUUUUGUUUUCCUUUUCUCAUACGUGUUUUAAUUCUGGUCAAAGUCUUUUGAAUUAAGUGUUACAUUGUUUUGUUUUCUUUAUUCUUUCUUUGUUUAUAUUUGUCUAGAUUGUCCUUCAGAAUAGGAUCUUAUUUCAUUGUUUUUCUCAAUUUUCUACUCCUCAAAAUUGAAGUUGUUGUUGACUUUGUAUGCACUUAGCCUGUCUGAUAUUACUCUAAAGCUUAGUUUCAGAACAAUCUUUCCCAUCUUUCAUUCAUUGAAAGGUUGGGUCUUAAAAU
rnacentral:lncRNA from 1 species